GGGGGGGGGGGGGGGGGGGGCGGGGGGGGGCCGGGGGGGGGGGUGAGGGGGGCGGGCGCCUGGAUUCGGCGGCGGACGGGUGGGUAAUGCCUAGGGAUCUGCCUGGUAGGGGGGGAUAAGGUCCGGAAACGGGCGCUAAUACCGGAUACGUCCUGGGGGAGACAGGGGGGGAUCUUCGGGCCUCACGCUAGCAGAUGAGCCUAGGUCGGAUUAGCUAGUUGUGGGGGUAAAGGCCUACCAAGGCGACGAUCCGUAACUGGUCUGAGAGGAUGAUCAGUCACACUGGAACUGAGACACGGUCCAGACUCCUACGGGAGGCAGCAGUGGGGAAUAUUGGACAAUGGGCGAAAGCCUGAUCCAGCCAUGCCGCGUGUGUGAAGAAGGUCUUCGGAUUGUAAAGCACUUUAAGUUGGGAGGAAGGGCAGUAAGUUAAUACCUUGCUGUUUUGACGUUACCAACAGAAUAAGCACCGGCUAACUUCGUG
rnacentral:rRNA from 1 species